AGAAUGAACGUUGGCGGCGUGGAUUAGGCAUGCAAGUCGAGCGGGUAUAGCAAUAUAUCAGCGGCGAAAGGGAGAGUAACGCGUAGCUACGUACCCCGGAGACCGGAAUAGCCAGCCGAAAGGCUGGGUAAUGCCGGAUGAUGCCUCUGGACUAAAGGGUGUGAUUCC
rnacentral:rRNA from 1 species